rnacentral:rRNA from 1 species
GAUGAACGCUAGCGGCAGGCCUAACACAUGCAAGUCGAACGGUAACAUUGGUGCUUGCACCAGAUGACGAGUGGCGCACGGGUGCGUAACGCGUAUACAAUCUACCUUUUACAGGGGGAUAGCCUUUAGAAAUGAAGAAUAAUACUCCAUAGUAAGUUAUAAUCGCCUGGUUAAGACUUUAAAGAUUUAUUGGUAAAAGAUGAGUAUGCGUCCUAUUAGCUAGAUGGUAAGGUAACGGCUUACCAUGGCCACGAUAGGUAGGGGCCCUGAGAGGGGGAUCCCCCACACUGGUACUGAGACACGGACCAGACUCCUACGGGAGGCAGCAGUGAGGAAUAUUGGACAAUGGGCGGGAGCCUGAUCCAGCCAUGCCGCGUGCAGGAAGACUGCCCUAUGGGUUGUAAACUGCUUUUAUACAGGAAGAAACCUUUCCACGUGUGGAGAGCUGACGGUACUGUAAGAAUAAGGAUCGGCUAACUCCG